AGAAGGCAGCAGGAGGUUUGAACAUUAUUUCCUAUGAAAGGUGGAAAAAAGCAGCUCUGUCAAAACUCCUCUCGGCAUUAAUGGCAAAGAAAGACAAGCUCUGGAUCAAAUGUAUCCACUGUCACUACAUAAAGAUGAAGGACUUUAAUACAAUGGAAAUUCCUAAACAAGCUAGCUGGCUCGUUAGGAAACUGAUUGGAGCAAGGGAAUGGUGGGCAAAUGAUGGAACAGGAAUGCAAACAUGUACUCAAAAUAGGCAAUUUAGAAUCAGAAAAGCAUACAUUCAUACCACCCCGCAAUACCCCAAGGUCCGAUGGAAAAACUUAGUGAUGGUUAAUGGCAUGCUCCCAAAAUAGAAAUACAUUUUAUGGAUAGCAGUGCACAAGCGAUUGUCAACAGUUGACAGAUUGGUUAGAUGGGG
rnacentral:lncRNA from 1 species